CUGUAAGCCAUUGCAAACUUGACAUUUAGUUGGAUGCCUGACUUGUUUUUAGUUCUAUGAAACUACACUGUAUGGAGAAAAUCUAUUGCAAGUGGUCUUUAAAAAGCAAAACCUGAGGCAGCAUGACCCAGGUCCAGCCAUGAAGUUGAAAAAGAUGCUCUUGAAUAUAGUAAACUUGAAGACCUCCAACUAAAAAUCCUUAUACUGCACUUAUUCCUUCA
rnacentral:lncRNA from 1 species